rnacentral:rRNA from 1 species
UACAGAGGGGGCAAGCGUUGUUCGGAAUUACUGGGCGUAAAGGGCGCGUAGGCGGCCUUCUAAGUCGAACGUGAAAUCCCCGAGCUCAACUCGGGAACUGCGUCCGAUACUGGCAGGCUUGAAUCCGGGAGAGGGAUGCGGAAUUCCAGGUGUAGCGGUGAAAUGCGUAGAUAUCUGGAGGAACACCGGUGGCGCAGGCGGCAUCCUGGACCGGCAUUGACGCUGAGGCGCGAAAGCCAGGGGAGCAAACGGG